GGAUGAACGCUGGCUGUGUGCCUAAUACAUGCAUGUCGAGCGGAGUUCUUCGGAACUUAGCGGCGAAUGGGUGAGUAACACGUACUUAACAUACCUUUUGGUUUGGGAUAACGUUUGGAAACAGACGCUAAUACCGGAUAUUUGUUUUAAUCGCAUGAUUGAAACAUAAAAGGGGCUUCAAAGCCUCGCCUUAAGAUUGGGGUGCGUAACAUUAGUUAGUUGGUAAGGUAACGGCUUACCAAGACGAUGAUGUUUAGCCGGGUUGAGAGACCGACCGGCCACACUGGGACUGAGAUACGGCCCAGACUCCUACGGGAGGCAGCAGUAGGGAAUAUUCCACAAUGGGCGAAAGCCUGAUGGAGCGACACAGCGUGCACGAUGACGCCCUUCGGGGUGUAAAGUGCUGUUAUAAGAGAAGAAAAAGUAGUGUAGGAAAUGACAUUACCUUGACGGUAUCUUAUCAGAAAGUGACGGCUAACUAUGUGCCAGCAGCCGCGGUAAUACAUAGGUCACGAGCGUUAUCCGAAAUUAUUGGGCGUAAAGCGUCCGUAGGUUGUUUGUUAAGUCUAGCGUUAAAUCUUGGGGCUCAACCCCAUUCCGCGUUAGAUACUGGCAAGCUAGAGUUAUAUAGAGGUUAGUGGAAUUCAAUGUGAAGCGGUGGAAUGCGUAGAUAUAUUGAAGAACACCAAUGGCGAAGGCAGCUAACUGGGUAUAAACUGACACUGAGGGACGAAAGCGUGGGGAGCAAACAGGAUUAGAUACCCUGGUAGUCCACGCCGUAAACGAUGAUCAUUAGUUGGUGGAAAAUUCACUAACACAGCUAACGCAUUAAAUGAUCCGCCUGAGUAGUAUGCUCGCAAGAGUGAAACUUAAAGGAAUUGACGGGGAUCCGCACAAGCGGUGGAGCAUGUGGUUUAAUUUGAAGAUACGCGUAGAACCUUACCCACACUUGACAUCUUCUGCAAUGCUAUGGAGACAUAGCGGAGGUUAACAGAAUGACAGGUGGUGCAUGGUUGUCGUCAGCUCGUGUCGUGAGAUGUUUGGUUAAGUCCUGCAACGAGCGCAACCCCUAUCAUUAGUUACUAACAUUAAGUUGAGGACUCUAAUGAGACUGCCCGAGUAAUCGGGAGGAAGGUGGGGACGACGUCAAAUCAUCAUGCCUCUUACGUGUGGGGCAACACACGUGCUACAAUGGAUGAUACAAAGAGAAGCAACCCGGCGACGGUGAGCAAACCUCAUAAAAUCAUUCUCAGUUCGGAUUGGAGUCUGCAACUCGACUCCAUGAAGUCGGAAUCGCUAGUAAUCGUAGGUCAGCUACACUACGGUGAAUACGUUCUCGGAUCUUGUACACACCGCCCGUCACACCAUGGGAGCUGGAAAUGCCCGAAGCCGGUUAGCUAACUUCGGAGGCGACUGUCUAAGGCAGGUCCGGUGACUGGGGUGAAGUCGUAACAAGGUAUCCCUACGAGAACGUGGGGAUGGAUCACCUCCUUUCUACGGAGAGUACAAUCUAUUUACGAUGGCACAACUAAAUCUUUAUUGCAACAAACACUGAAUAAUCAGCGCAGUAAAGUCUGUUAUGAGAAACACGCCAUAGUUUCGUUAUAUCUAGUUUUGAGAGUUCUACUCUCUAAUAGUUCUUUGAAAACUGAAUACAUUAAUAUGAAAAGACAUCAAAUUAAACAAACAAACAAAAUUAAGUUUUUAUUAUAAGUAAUAAAAAAUAAUUUUAUCGAGUUAAAAACAAAUGAAAAGAUUCAUUUAAAUGUCUUAAAAUACUUAAAUCAACAACAAUAGGAACAUACAAAUACUAUUAACAAUAUUAAAUAAGUAAGAGUUUGUGGUGGAUGCCUUGGGUCUGGAAGUCGAUGAAGGACGUGAUAACCUGCGAUAAGCCUCGUGGAGCUGGAAAUACGCUUUGAUACGGGGAUUUCCGAAUGGGGAAACCUAGCUAGACUAAUCUCUAGUUGACACUCAGUGAAUACAUAGCUGAGUAGUACGAAACACCUUGUGAAUUGAAACAUCUUAGUAGCAAGAGGAAAAGAAAAUAAAUAAUGAUUCCAUCAGUAGCGGCGAGCGAACGUGGAAGAGCCCAAACCGUCAAAAUUGACGGGGUUGUAGGACAAUCUACAUAGAGUUACAAAACUUACAGAUAGCAGAAGGCUUUGGAAAAUGCCGGCAUAGAGGGUGAUACCCCCGUAUGCGAAAUCUGUGAGACUCUUGGUUGUAUCCUGAGUAGGGCGGGGCACGUGAAACCCUGUCUGAAUCCGCCAGGACCACCUGGCAAGGCUAAAUACUAACCAGACACCGAUAGCGAACUAGUA
rnacentral:rRNA from 1 species